rnacentral:rRNA from 2 species
UUAAAAGCUCCGGCGGUGAAGGAUGAGCCCGCGGCCUAUCAGCUUGUUGGUGGGGUAAUGGCCUACCAAGGCGACGACGGGUAGCCGGCCUGAGAGGGCGACCGGCCACACUGGGACUGAGACACGGCCCAGACUCCUACGGGAGGCAGCAGUGGGGAAUAUUGCACAAUGGGCGAAAGCCUGAUGCAGCGACGCCGCGUGAGGGAUGACGGCCUUCGGGUUGUAAACCUCUUUCAGCAGGGAAGAAGCGAAAGUGACGGUACCUGCAGAAGAAGCGCCGGCUAACUACGUGCCAGCAGCCGCGGUAAUACGUAGGGCGCAAGCGUUGUCCGGAAUUAUUGGGCGUAAAGAGCUCGUAGGCGGCUUGUCACGUCGGAUGUGAAAGCCCGGGGCUUAACCCCGGGUCUGCAUUCGAUACGGGCUAGCUAGAGUGUGGUAGGGGAGAUCGGAAUUCCUGGUGUAGCGGUGAAAUGCGCAGAUAUCAGGAGGAACACCGGUGGCGAAGGCGGAUCUCUGGGCCAUUACUGACGCUGAGGAGCGAAAGCGUGGGGAGCGAACAGGAUUAGAUACCCUGGUAGUCCACGCCGUAAACGUUGGGAACUAGGUGUUGGCGACAUUCCACGUCGUCGG